GUUCUUACCGUUAGCUGCUGCUGCUGCUGUCAGUUUUCUCCAUUUUGUUAAUUUUUUUCAUCUCUCAUUGUACCAUAGAAAUAGAAGAGAAGAGCUUGGAAAUGCAUUAAUCUCUGUAAUGUCUUCCACAUUCUGCAAGCUCACUCAAGGGUCUUGUCUCCAGACUCCGAGCUGCUUCAUCAAAAGGAACUGUGUGAGCUCCAAGAGAUCAUCAUGUAAUGUGGAAGGAGUGUUUUAUUGGAGAUAUAGAAGUCAAUUGCUUGUCAGGAGAAGGCAAUGGGACCAACAUGUGCUUCGUUCGGUCAAAGCAGACCGAUCCUUUUUUAGCCGUAAAGAAGAACCUGGAGAGGUAGUUGAAGAGGAGAUUCCAAAGGGAGUUUUGAUUUGGAGGGCAAUGAAAUUGCCAAUGUACUCUGUUGCUUUGGUUCCUCUCACUGUAGGUGGUGCAGCGGCUUAUCUGCAGACAGGCCUCUUCUCAUCUAGAUGUUAUUUUACUCUCUUGGCAUCUUCAGUUCUUAUCAUCAUGUGGCUCAAUUUAAGCAAUGAUGUUUAUGAUUUUGAUACUGGAGCUGAUAAAAACAAAAAGGAAUCAGUGAUCAACCUGUUUGGCAGCCGAACUGGAACCUUCAUUGCUGCCUGCUUAUGUCUUGCUCUUGGCUUCACGGGGCUAACUUGGUCUGCUAUGAAGGCUGGAAAUAUACAAUCAAUUUUGUUUCUAACUUGUGCAAUCAUUUGCGGUUACAUAUAUCAGUGUCCACCAUUUCGGUUAAGCUACCAAGGACUGGGAGAGCCCUUGUGUUUUGCAGCAUUUGGUCCUUUUUCUACUACUGCCUUUUAUUUAUUGCUGGGCAGUGAAAGUGUGAUGAACCAUUUACCCUUAACUGGAACAGUUCUUUCGGCAUCGGUCCUUGUUGGGUUCACAACAGCCCUAAUUCUCUUUUGCAGUCACUUCCAUCAGGUGGAAGGUGACAGGGAGGUCGGAAAAUUUUCGCCUUUGGUCAGACUUGGCUCUAGAAGAGGUGCACAGGUAGUGAAAGUGGCAAUCAUGUUGCUAUACGCCCUUUUGGCUUCGUUCGGACUAAGCGGGAUGCUUCCUGUCACUUGUAUUUUUACAAAGACAUAGGAAAUAAACCAAGCCAAUCAUAAACUUGCCAUGGUGAUGGAGACUUAACAGUAUGGGAUACCACGUCUCACAUUGAAUAGUAUGUAAUGCUCAAGUGGAGUAUCUAAGUGGGUUGAUUCUCUCACCUCAAUAUAGCUGAGACAGGUUUUCUUAUCCCAUUUAAAUACCCAUCACAUAGGUUUCAAGGGAUCACAUUGUUAUCAUGCUUUAUACGAUAUAUUCAUACUUAACUGAUAAAGUGUAUUGAUCGAGAAACUCACACUUAUCCAACUUUCUCUACCUCGUGUCUUAUCUGUGCCUUUCUUUUAGGGUGCAAUGACUAUUUUGGACAAGGGGCUUAUAAUUUUCUUUUGUUGUUUGUGAUAUCAGUUCCUCUGUGCCCUGACUCUUCCUAUGGGAAACUUUGUGGUUAGAUUUGUACAAGACAACCACAAGGACAAGGAAAAGAUCUUCAUGGCUAAGUAUUUUUGUGUGAGGUUGCAUGCAUUAUUUGGAGUUGCACUGGCUUUUGGACUGGUU